GCAUCUAGCCUGCCGAAAAGCAAAAGACGAAGAGUUCGACCAAUCAGCGCUGGGAUGAUUGACAAAUGCAUAAUGUCAAUCAUAUCAAGAGAUUGCAAAUCGAUAGUAAUACAAAAUAGGUUUUAUCCCUCUCGUUCUUCCUCCGUCUGGUUGGUUCAUCAAGUGAGGACGGUGCUUUUAACUCCUUUGCGAAUUAAACAGGCUGGAUGGAUUUGGAAAGUUGAAAUUGUGAACUCACUGAUUCUUGAGACAUGGGACAAAACGGUGCAAUAUUUAAAAAAUAAAACCUUGUGCUUAGACAAAUUAAACUACAUGUAUGUAUCUAACAUGUACUAAGCUACUGAGCUACGCUUCAAUACAACCUCCCAACUUUUCUAUUUUUUAUCAAAAUGUGUUUUUUCUUUUUCUAUUUUGUGUCAACACCAUCAGACACCAAAAACACAAAUUAAUUUAUACUCACAUUAUGCUAGACCUUUAAGAAGUAUAGAAAACAUUUAUUUUCACCAAGGCUGACAGAGGCCACAAAAAAGUUACUUUCAAUAUGUAUGUAUAUAUAUAUAUAUAUAUAUAUAUAUACACUCACCUAAAGGAUUAUUAGGAACACCUGUUCAAUUUCUCAUUAAUGCAGUUAUCUAAUCAACCAAUCACAUGGCAGUUGCUUCAAUGCAUUUAGGGGUGUGGUCCUGGUCAAGACAAACUCCUGAACUCCAAACUGAAUGUCAGAAUGGGAAAGAAAGGUGAUUUAAGCAAUUUUGAGCGUGGCACGGUUGUUGGUGCCAGAUGGGCCGGUCUGAGUAUUUCACAAUCUGCUCAGUUACUGGGAUUUUCACGCACAACCAUUUCUAGGGUUUACAAAGAAUGGUGUGAAAAGGUAAAAACAUCCAGUAUGCGGCAGUCCUGUGGGUGAAAAUGCCUUGUUGAUGCUAGAGGUCAGAGGAGAAUGGGUCGAUUGAUUCAAGCUGAUAGAAGAGCAACUUUGCCUGAAAUAACCACUCAUUACAACCGAGGUAUGCAGCAAAGCAUUUGUGAAGCCACAACACGCACAACCUUGAGGUGGAUGGGCUACAACAGCAGAAGACCCCACCGGGUACCACUCAUCUCCACUACAAAUAGGAAAAAGAGGCUACAAUUUGCAAGAGCUCACCAAAAUUGGACAGUUGAAGACUGGAAAAAUGUUGCCUGGUCUGAUGAGUCUCGAUUUCUGUUGAGACAUUCAGAUGGUAGAGUCAGAAUUUGGCAUAAACAGAAUGAGAACAUGGAUCCAUCAUGCCUUGUUACCACUGUGCAGGCUGGUGGUGGUGGUGUAAUGGUGUGGGGGAUGUUUUCUUGGCACACUUUAGGCCCCUUAGUGCCAAUUGGGCAUCGUUUAAAUGCCACGGCCUACCUGAGCAUUGUUUCUGAUCAUGUCCAUCCCUUUAUGGCCACCAUGUACCCAUCCUCUUGAUGGCUACUUCCAGCAGGAUAAUGCACCAUGUCACAAAGAUCGAAUCAUUUCAAAUUGGUUUCUUGAACAUGACAAUGAGUUCACUGUACUAAAAUGAAUCCGUGUAUCAUACGUUCUUUUCAUAUUCAAUUGAGAUUCCAAAAUCGGAAAAUGAAAAAACGGUUUGUUAUUUCGUUAUUCGUUUAUAAAUGUGAUACCAAAAAACAAAUAACGGGUCAUUUUUCGUACUUUUGAUUUAAUGCUCAGAUCAAAAAGAGGAAAUUAAACAAAGGGUCGCGGACAUAUUUUGAUUUUGAUAUUUAAUUUGUUCGAUCUGUGUGAACCGGAAGUCUCGUUAGCUUGAUUCACUUCUUCAGUUUAACCAAACAUUAGCCUUCAAAUGUGAGAUCAAUCAUGGAGAGUUUCAGUUUCAUCUUGUUCAGAGGAACUAAACGGGUGACUGUCAAAGAAGACGACAUGACGACCGAAAAAAUCGGCAGGAUCUUCCAGGUAACUUAAGGUGAUGAUACACAGGGCAACUUUUUGAGCAAUGUUGCCGUCAACGGGCAACCAGAGACACAGGACCCACGAGCGAUCUAAAUUAUCCAGAUAGAAAUGUAUUGCCCAUUUUCAAUGGGAAAGUGCCCAAGUAACAAUCGCUUGGCAAGAUUGCAGCAACUUUGCUCAAAAAGUUGCCCUGUGUACCAUCACCUUUACUGUAGUUUAAUCUAAAAAUAAGUCUUAUUUAUUCUGUAAAAUUGCACUGACGAAACUGUUAGCUAACGUUACUUUAUUUUAUAACUAACGUUGUACUGAACCCCUUCCUUCACUGUUUACAUUUGCAAAGGUGCAUGGGCCCAGUCUCUACAUCACCGAUGACAGCAACAUUGCCAUAUUUCCUGGGCCUGAUGGCCGUUUUAGCACUUUAGAACUCAUAGUAAGAGGACAUUACGAGGUGCACGGCGAAAGCAGCGUGGAAGACUCAUCUACCGGCAGUGUCCCAGCAACACACAACCCUACCCGCUUUCCUUUCCAGCGCUGCAGUUGCUGUUGCAGGUUCUGCUGCAAGGGCUUCAGCAAAUCCAAGAGCUAAUCUGACAAAAACAUUCCAAAGAAACAUCUUCAUCGCUGAACUUGUGGAUGGCAAGUUGGAGACUAGCACAACGCUGACUGUGUGUUUUUCAGAAUUUGAAGCUUCUGUUAUGGGCAUCCUCUACAAAGUCAAUGAUGCCCUUGAACAAGAGGAUUCACGCAUCCUCACUGACGGCCAGGGGAACAAAAUCUUGGACUCGGAAGGAGACUGAACACUUUGUAUUGUUUAUAUGAAAGAAAUAUGAAAUAGUAUAUAAAUCCAGGAUACCUUUAUUGUAUGCUUCAAAUUAACUUAUUUGUAUUAGGAGUUACUGCCCAUCUCCUGAGUCAUGCUAUUUGCAUAAUUAAUGGACUAUUUUCUAUACAGGAUCAGCAUUUUGGAAGCAAAAUGCAAGGAAAGUAUUUGCUGUGAAGGAAGAACACUUCUUGCAAGCUAGUAAAAAGAGGAGACUGAGUCGACGAAAAGAUACAGGCCUCGAUCUGGUUUUUGAUAGAAUUGAAGAUGUGGAGUUUGCAAAUUCCAACCGCAGAACAACACUGUCCCUGACUGAGGCCCAAGCAGCUGCUGUUAGAGAUGCCUUUGCCUGUAUUGUCUGCAAAAGUCCAAUGGUUGAGCCCAUGGUUUCAUCGUGCUGCCAAAGCCUUGUUGGCUGUAGGAUCUGCAUUGAAGAGUGGCAGAAAAAUUCUGCCUUUUGCCCAAAAUGUCGAGCUGAUGAUUUUGGUAACAACAUUCAAAGACUUACUGGACUCUCUGAUGCAUUGGCUGCAUUGGGAAGCAUACUCUGGGAGUGACACUGUGUACAGAAUCCAAUCAUAUGUAAUUGCAUUGAUUUACUGUUCUUUGUGUUCAGUUUGUUAUUGGGUAACAUAUGUCAAGUCUACAAUUUAAGCAAACUCUUUUUUUGCUCAUGUUUCAAUUAGAGGUCGACCGAUAUUGGUUUUUUUCAGGCCGAUGCCGAUCUUUUGAAAUCCGGGUCGGCCGAUGGCCGAUUAAUGCUGCUGAUUUAAUUUGGCCGAUAUGUGCUUGUUUUUAACCUCUUAUUUGAACCUUUUAUUUGAAAGAUAAAAUGUAACACAAAUAAUUACUUAAGAUAGACAACAUUUCUCAACAAAUACAUUUAUUGAACACUUGACCGAUCUGAACUUGUACACUUAAAUUAAAAAUGUUUAAUGUAAAAACAUAUUGUAUAAAUAAUGUAUAACAAAUAUAUUAAAUAAACAAAGCAGGUGUUACGAACUGC